UACGAAGGGGGGCUAGCGUUGUUCGGAAUUACUGGGCGUAAAGCGCACGUAGGCGGACAUUUAAGUCAGGGGUGAAAUCCCAGAGCUCAACUCUGGAACUGCCUUUGAUACUGGGUGUCUUGAGUAUGGAAGAGGUGAGUGGAAUUCCGAGUGAUAGAGGUGAAAUUCGUAGAUAUUCGGAGGAACACCAGUGGGCGAAAGGGCG
rnacentral:rRNA from 1 species